rnacentral:rRNA from 1 species
UGCCAGCCGCCGCGGUAAUACGGAGGGUGCAAGCGUUAUCCGGAAUCAUUGGGUUUAAAGGGUUCGCAGGCGGUCCAAUAAGUCAGUGGUGAAAUCCUACAGCUCAACUGUAGAACUGCCAUUGAUACUGCUAGACUUGAAUAUAGUUGAAGUAGGCGGAAUGUGUAGUGUAGCGGUGAAAUGCUUAGAUAUUACACAGAACACCGAUAGCGAAGGCAGCUUACUAAACUAUUAUUGACGCUCAUGAACGAAAGCGUGGGGAGCGAACAGGAUUAGAUA